rnacentral:misc_RNA from 1 species
GGCUAUUGUACGAGAGAGAAUGAAUGAUUGGAGAAAACGUCUCGUCUCUCAGCUUGGAAAAGAGAUGGUUGAAAUGACUGGAGAUUAUACUCCAGAUUUGAUGGCCCUCUUGUCAGCAGAUAUCAUCAUAUCUACCCCUGAGAAGUGGGAUGGUAUUAGUCGUAAUUGGCAUACUCGAAGCUAUGUGACGAAGGUUGGGCUUAUGAUUUUGGAUGAGAUUCACUUAUUGGGUGCUGAUCGUGGACCUAUCCUUGAGGUUAUUGUUUCAAGGAUGAGAUACAUAUCAUCCCAAACAGAGCGGGCAGUACGUUUUGUAGGUCUUUCAACAGCUUUGGCAAAUGCAGGAGAUUUGUCUGAUUGGUUGGGAGUUGGUGAAAUUGGACUUUUCAAUUUCAAGCCAAGUGUAAGGCCUGUGCCUCUGGAAGUACAUAUCCAGGGAUAUCCUGGGAAGUAUUACUGCCCAAGGAUGAAUAGCAUGAACAAACCAGCAUACGCUGCAAUAUGUACCCAUUCACCUAUAAAGCCAGUACUCAUAUUUGUAUCGUCUCGUCGCCAAACGAGGCUUACUGCACUUGACCUUAUUCAGUUUGCAGCGGCAGAUGAGCAUCCAAGGCAAUUUCUGAGUAUGACAGAAGAAGCAUUGCAGAUGGUUCUUUCUCAGAUCACUGAUCAGAACCUGAGACACACCUUACAAUUUGGCAUUGGGUUACACCAUGCAGGACUAAAUGACAAAGACAGAUCUCUGGUUGAGGAACUUUUUGCAAACAACAAGAUCCAGGUGUUAGUGUGCACAAGCACACUUGCUUGGGGGGUGAAUCUUCCUGCUCAUCUGGUUAUUAUCAAGGGAACAGAAUAUUACGAUGGAAAGACAAAGAGAUACGUUGAUUUUCCCAUCACAGAUAUCUUGCAAAUGAUGGGUCGUGCAGGCCGCCCACAAUAUGAUCAGCAUGGAAAAGCUGUCAUUCUUGUUCAUGAACCUAAGAAGAGCUUCUAUAAAAAGUUUUUGUACGAACCAUUUCCUGUUGAGAGUAGUCUAAAGGAGCAGCUGCAUGAUCACAUCAAUGCAGAGAUAGUUACUGGCACAAUUUGCCAUAAAGAGGAUGCAGUGCAUUACCUUACAUGGACUUACUUAUUCCGUAGACUGAUGGUUAAUCCCGCCUACUAUGGUCUAGAGAAUGCAGAACCUGAAACUCUGAGUUCUUAUAUGUCUAGAUUAGUGCAAAACACAUUUGAGGAUCUGGAAGACAGUGGGUGCAUCAAGAUGAAUGAAGACAAUGUGGAGUCUAUGAUGUUGGGCAUGAUAGCAUCACAGUAUUACCUUAGCUACAUGACUGUUUCAAUGUUUGGAUCAAAUAUAGGGCCAGAUACAUCUCUUGAAGUGUUUUUGCAUAUUCUUUCUGGUGCUUCUGAAUAUGAUGAACUUCCUGUGCGGCAUAACGAGGAAAAUUAUAAUGAAGCAUUGUCUCAGAGAGUUCGAUAUAUGGUGGACAAGAAUCGCUUAGAUGAUCCACAUGUCAAAGCAAAUCUGCUAUUUCAGGCUCAUUUUUCCCAGUUAGAGUUACCCAUCAGUGAUUAUGUGACAGAUUUGAAAUCAGUGUUAGAUCAAAGUAUACGUAUCAUACAGGCCAUGAUAGAUAUUUGUGCCAAUAGUGGGUGGCUUUUAAGCUCAAUUACUUGCAUGCAUCUUUUGCAAAUGGUCAUGCAGGGUCUGUGGUUUGAAAAAGAUUCUUCCCUGUGGAUGUUGCCAUGCAUGAAUACUGAUCUUUUGUCAUCAUUGAACAAAAAAGGAAUCUCCACUGUGCAGCAUCUGUUGGAUCUUCCCAAGGCAACUUUGCAGGCUAUGAUUGGAAAUUUUCCUGCUUCAAGAUUGUAUCAGGAUCUGCAUCAUUUUCCCUGCAUUAAAACAAAGUUAAAACUUCAGAAGA